CCAACCUCAAAUUUGAAGAUUGGUCUCUGUUUGACCUCUUUCUUGACUGAUCUUUUCUCUCCAGCAUGGACGUGCUAGGAGACUACGACCCAUGUGACGCCUCUGGAUUCAUCAGGAUCAAUGCUGUCAGGUUAAGGGAACACCAUCGUUUGCAGGGUUCCCCCAUUACCAAGCAGUAACUGUUCCAGUGAACCAUCGUUCUCUCUGCCCUUUCUCUCCACCGUUAUAGAAGAGGGAGGAAGAAAAUCUAUCAACUGCAAAAAAAAUGUUUGAAUCAGUUAUACAGAUCAUCAUGAUAUAUACUGUGUAAGAACAUUUUUAAGAAAACCCAUCUUGGUAUUUUAUUUCCUGAAUUUUUCUGGUCAAUACUUGAACUUAAAUAUUUAGGAAUUCUUUGUUAUAGAAAUAAAACAGAGUGAACUGUG